AGCCGCUACCCUGCAGCUAGACUACUUUGCAAUAUUGAACUGAUUUUUGUUCCCUCCUGUGCAGCUGUUGCUGGACACAGCCAGAGCACUGAGAGAUAUCAGGUAUUGAUGUAACUGGAGUGAAUAAGGGAACCUUCUUCCUGAGCACAGACAUUGGAGCCUGUUAUCAGCAUGAACUCAUAUGUGUUAGAUAUGUCCCACUUGUGGCGGACAACCACACCGGUUGGGAGAAGGUAUAUCUAUGGCUCAGAGAUGUAGAUGAUGAUGAUGCUGGAACAGGCUGCACUCUCCUCACAUCAAAAUGUCAAAAGAAUCUGGAGAAGUGAAGAAAAAAGAGAGGCGCCUGUGUGU